CCUGGCUUAGGAUGAACGCUAGCGACAGGCCUAACACAUGCAAGUCGAGGGGCAGCACAAGGAGCAAUCUGAGGUGGCGACCGGCGCACGGGUGAGUAACACGUAUGCAACCUGCCUGUAAGCGGGGAAUAACCCGUUGAAAGACGGACUAAUACCGCAUAAUACUAAAUUACUGCAUGGUAAUUUAUUUAAACAUUUAUGGCUUACAGAUGGGCAUGCGCAUGAUUAGCUAGUUGGAGAGGUAACGGCUCCCCAAGGCAACGAUCAUUAGGGGUUCUGAGAGGAAGGUCCCCCACACUGGUACUGAGACACGGACCAGACUCCUACGGGAGGCAGCAGUGAGGAAUAUUGGUCAAUGGACGAGAGUCUGAACCAGCCAAGUCGCGUGCAGGAAGAAUGUCCUAUGGAUUGUAAACUGCUUUUGCAGGGGAAUAAAGUGCAUCACGUGUGAUGUUUUGUAUGUACUCUGCGAAUAAGGAUCGGCUAACUCCGUGCCAGCCGCGGC
rnacentral:rRNA from 1 species